UACGUAGGGUGCGAGCGUUGUCCGGAAUUAUUGGGCGUAAAGAGCUUGUAGGCGGUUUGUCGCGUCUGCCGUGAAAAUCCGAGGCUCAACCUCGGACUUGCGGUGGGUACGGGCAGACUAGAGUGUGGUAGGGGAGACUGGAAUUCCUGGUGUAGCGGUGAAAUGCGCAGAUAUCGGGAAGAACACCCGUGGCGAAGGCGGCACUCUGGGACGGUACUGACGCUGAGACGCGAAAGCGUGGGGAGCGAACAGG
rnacentral:rRNA from 1 species